rnacentral:rRNA from 1 species
UACGGAGGGUGCAAGCGUUGUCCGGAAUCACUGGGUGUAAAGGGUGUGUAGGCGGAACGGUCAGUCGGAGGUGAAAGCCUGCAGCUUAACUGCAGAACUGCCCCCGACUACUGCCGAUCUUGAGUCCCGGAGGGGUGGCUGGAAUUCGUGGUGUAGCGGUGAAAUGCGUAGAUAUCACGAGGAACACCUAAGGCGUAGGCAGGUCACUGGACGGGUACUGACGCUGAGGCACGAAAGUGUGGGGAGCAAACAGG